UUGAAGAAAACUUUCACUAUUUUCUACACUCAAAACUUCCUUAAACUUUAAAGAAAUACGCUCAAUAUUAUAGAAGAAGAAUUCUCUGAUUCUGGUGUGAUUUUUAUUUCUAAACUGAGCAUCAUAUUUAUAGGAGAAUGACGUGAUAUUAUUUAGAAAAUAAAAUCACGGGCUGCACAGUGAAUUUCAGACGAUUUCAC
rnacentral:lncRNA from 1 species